CAGCACAGUGAAGGCCCAUGUGUGCUUUGUAGCUCCCCAGGUUAUUAAUCUGUGCUACAGUAAAGUGUGGUCUGUAACCUGCAUUGGAGGAGCUAUAUUCUCCUCUGUGUGUAUUCAGCAGACCUGUACAUUC
ensembl:snoRNA